rnacentral:rRNA from 3 species
UGGGGAAUAUUGGACAAUGGGCGAAAGCCUGAUCCAGCCAUGCCGCGUGUGUGAAGAAGGUCUUCGGAUUGUAAAGCACUUUAAGUUGGGAGGAAGGGCAGUAAGUUAAUACCUUGCUGUUUUGACGUUACCAACAGAAUAAGCACCGGCUAACUUCGUG